GGACUACACGGGUUUCUAAUCCUGUUUGCUCCCCACGCUUUCGUACCUCAGCGUCAACAGUCGUCCAGUGAGCCGCCUUCGCCACUGGUGUUCUUCCGAAUAUCUACGAAUUUCACCUCUACACUCGGAAUUCCACUCACCUCUCCGACGUUCAAGCGAUGCAGUCUUAAAGGCUAUUCCGGGGUUGAGCCCCGGGCUUUCACCUCUAACUUACAAAGCCGCCUACGUACGCUUUACGCCCAGUAAUUCCGAACAACGCUAGCCCCCUCCGUAUUACCGCGGCUGCUGGCAC
rnacentral:rRNA from 1 species